rnacentral:rRNA from 1 species
ACGGAGCUACCAUGCAAGUCGAGCGAGAUCUUCGGAUCUAGCGGCGGACGGGUGAGUAACGCGUGGGAACGUACCCUCUUCUGCGGGAUAGCCACUGGAAACGGUGAGUAAUACCGCAUACGCCCUUCGGGGGAAAGAUUUAUCGGAGGAGGAUCGGCCCGCGUUGGAUUAGGUAGUUGGUGGGGUAAUGGCCUACCAAGCCUACGAUCCAUAGCUGGUUUUAGAGGAUGAUCAGCCACACUGGGACUGAGACACGGCCCAGACUCCUACGGGAGGCAGCAGUGGGGAAUCUUAGACAAUGGGCGCAAGCCUGAUCUAGCCAUGCCGCGUGAGUGACGAAGGCCUUAGGGUCGUAAAGCUCUUUCGCCUGUGAUGAUAAUGACAGUAGCAGGUAAAGAAACCCCGGCUAACUCCGUGCCAGCAGCCGCGGUAAUACGGAGGGGGUUAGCGUUGUUCGGAAUUACUGGGCGUAAAGCGCACGUAGGCGGAUUGGAAAGUAUGGGGUGAAAUCCCAGGGCUCAACCCUGGAACGGCCUCAUAAACUUCCAGUCUGGAGUUCGAGAGAGGUGAGUGGAAUUCCGAGUGUAGAGGUGAAAUUCGUAGAUAUUCGGAGGAACACCAGUGGCGAAGGCGGCUCACUGGCUCGAUACUGACGCUGAGGUGCGAAAGUGUGGGGAGCAAACAGGAUUAGAUACCCUGGUAGUC